UUCUACCAUACUACCCUAAACGUACCUGAUCUUAUUUGAUCUAGGAAACUAAGCAGUGUCAAGCCUGGUUAAUACUUGAAUGGGAGAAAUGCAGAAUCCCAGGCCACAUGCAGACCCACGUAGUUACAGAAU
rnacentral:rRNA from 1 species